CAACUCUCAACAACGGAUAUCUUGGCUCCCGUAUCGAUGAAGAACGCAGCGAAAUGCGAUACGUAGUGUGAAUUGCAGAAUUCCGUGAACCAUCGAAUCUUUGAACGCAAAUUGCGCCCGAGGCCUCGGCCGAGGGCAUGUCUGCCUCAGCGUCGGUUU
rnacentral:rRNA from 1 species